AACGUAGGUGGCGAGCGUUAUCCGGAUUUACUGGGCGCAAAGGGUGUGCAGGCUGCCCCUCAAGUGGUGUAUGAAAGGGCUCGGCUCAACCGGGCUAGGUUAUGCCAGACUGAGGGGCUAGAGAGCGAGAGCGGGACGUGGAAUUCCGGGUGUAGUGGUGAAAUGCGUAGAGAUCUGGAGGAACACCGAUGGCGAAGGCAGCCUUCUGGGCCAACACUGACGCUCAUGCACGAAAGCGUGGGGAGCAAACAGG
rnacentral:rRNA from 1 species